rnacentral:rRNA from 1 species
UACUCGAGUGGCGAACGGGUGAGUAACACGUGGGUGAUAUGCCCUGCACUUCGGGAUAAGCCUGGGAAACUGGGUCUAAUACCGGAUAGGAGCCAUUUUUAGUGUGAUGGUUGGAAAGUUUUUUCGGUGUAGGAUGAGCUCGCGGCCUAUCAGCUUGUUGGUGGGGUAAUGGCCUACCAAGGCGGCGACGGGUAGCCGGCCUGAGAGGGUGGACGGCCACAUUGGGACUGAGAUACGGCCCAG